UUUGAGAGGCGAAAAUCGAGUGGAAAAAAAAGGCAAGAGUGAUUGGUGAGACCAUUCGAGAGAAGUAAAAGCCAUAUUGUGUGAAUUUUAUUUGUGAGUGAAGUGUGAGUUUUGUUGUGUGAUUAAAAAAAAUGUCUCAAGAAGAAUUUUCAGAAUCAGAAUUCCAAUAUUUGAUGCAAGAAAUGCGUAGAAUGGUGAAAUCAAACUUUGAUAAAUUGCAUGAUAGAUUGGAUCGAAUAGAGACAAGAGCCCAACAAAAGCAAAUUUCAUCGAGUCAAGAGACGGAGUUAAGAUCAUCC
rnacentral:lncRNA from 1 species